rnacentral:rRNA from 1 species
GUGCACCAGGCGCGAAACCUUUGCAAUGCGCGAAAGCGUGACAAGGUGACUCCGAGUGCUCAUGCGUAAGCAUGAGCUUUUCCCGAGUGUAAACAGCUCGGGGAAUAAGGGCCGGGCAAUACCCGUGCCAGCCGCCGCGGUAAUACGGGAGGCCCGAGUGGUGCCCGCGAUUACUGGGCUUAAAGCGUCCGUAGCCGGUCCGGUAAGUCCUUGGUGAAAGCCCCAGGCUUAACCUGGGGAGGUGCCAAGGAUACUGCCGGUCUAGGGGAGCGGGAGAGGCGAGGGGUACUCCGGGGGUAGCGGUGAAAUGCGUUGAUCCUCGGGGGACCACCGGUAGCGAAGGCGCCUCGCUGGAACGCGUCCGACGGUGUGGGACGAAGGCCAGGGGAGCGACCCGGAUUAGAUACCCCUGUAGU